rnacentral:rRNA from 1 species
GCUUAUGGCCAUACCACCCUGAAUGCGCCCGAUCUCGUCUGAUCUCGGAAGCUAAGCAGGGUCAGGCCUGGUUAGUACUUGGAUGGGAGACCGCCUGGGAAUACCAGGUGCUGUAAGCU